CAUUCAUUUAGGGAGUGCGGCGGCUCGUGGGGGGAGCGCUCCUGGCCCCGAGUGUUUCUGUCUCUGCUCGGGAGGGAGGUGAUGCAUGGGCCACCGCCGACUUCUGCGGGAGUCUCAUGCAGUAAUACUGUUUUGUGGCUUAGUUGGUGACAGUGUAUCAGGAGCAUUUCCCCACCCAACAAAACUCAUUUGAUGAGUGUUUCGCCAGGUGGGAAACAUGGAACAGCAGGCACUCAGAAGAGAUCUCAGCAUUGACAGACCUGGAUUCUCUCCUGCUUCCAGUGGAGACAGAGGCCCAUAAAAUCCAUUGGCUGGAGGGGUAGCCCUCGAGUCAGGGCAGUGUGCAACCCAGCGUCUCAAGGAUGUGGCAGGAUGUGUGCCAGGCUGAUCUUGCCCCAUCACCUGAGGCCCUGUCACUGCAUCAGCCCUAUUACCCUCUGGGCUCUUGCCCUGGCCAUAGCAGGCCAGUAGGAGGUAGGGAGAGGGCCAAGGUGCCAAUCACUUGGAGGCUAUAAAAAAAUAACACCAGAAGAUAAACUAGAAAUGACACUAGAAAUGUAAAGGACUGCCCCAUCAGUCACUUGGGGUGACAGUGGAGGCCAAGACCCCUCUCCCUUUAAGGGAUCGGCUUGAGUAGUGACCGUAACAAGGAAACCAUGUCUGCUUUAACUGCAAAAGUUUAGUUUAGCUAAGCUGGCUAUGCAAGUCUGAGGCCCUUGGCCUCUCCAAAUCCUCAACAAGGAGCCAGAGAAUCUUGGUUUGAAGACCUUGCCUGCACUCAUUGCCCAUCUUAUCCACACAGCACACCAGAUUCACCUUCCUUAAUGCCUUCUGAUUGGGUCAUUUGACUCCUGGCUCAACAAGAGCCUGACUCUACCUAUCCAGACCUUUUUCUGUCUUCAAAUUCAGCUCAAGGUAUGUUUUCCUUUUUCAACAACAAAAAAUCAAAUAACUGGAUUUAAAAAUUGGCAAAGGACUUGAAUAGACAUGUCUCCAAAGAGGAUACACAAUUGGUCACCAGGCAUAUGAAAAGAUGUUCAACAUCACAAAUCAUUAGAGAAAUGCAACUCAUAUCCACAGUGAGAUUCCACCUUACGCCCCCUAGGAUGGCUACUGUAAAAAAAAAUAAUAAUAAAUAAAUGAUAACAAGUGUUGGUGACGAUGUGAAGAAAUCAGAACCCUUAUGCACUUUGGUGGGAAUGGAAAAUGGUACAGCCACUUUAGGAAACAGUGGCGAUCCCUUGAAAAGUUAAAAAUAAAAUUACCAUAUGA
rnacentral:lncRNA from 1 species